AACGUAGGAACCGAGCGUUAUCCGGAUUCACUGGGCGUAAAGCGCCUGCAGGCUGUCUUGUAAGUUGGACGUGAAAUCUCCUGGCUUAACUGGGAGACGCCGUUCAAUACUGCAGGGCUUGAGGGCAGAAGAGGGAAGUGGAAUUCCCGGUGUAGUGGUGAAAUGCGUAGAUAUCGGGAGGAACACCAGUGGCGAAGGCGGCUUCCUGGUCUGUACCUGACGCUAAGAGGCGAAAGCUAGGGGAGCGAACGGGAUUAGAAACCCCGGUAGUCCUAGCUGUAAACGAUGGACGCUAGGUGUAGGUGGUCCUAACCCCAUCUGUGCCGAAGCCAACGCGUUAAGCGUCCCGCCUGGGGACUACGGUCGCAAGGCUAAAACUCAAAGGAAUUGACGGGGACCCGCACAAGCAGCGGAGCGUGUGGUUUAAUUCGAUGCUACACGAAGAACCUUACCCGGGUUUGACAUGCGAGUAGUAGUGAAGCGAAAGCGGAACGACCCUUCGGGGAGCUUGCACAGGUGCUGCAUGGCUGUCGUCAGCUCGUGCCGUGAGGUGUUGGGUUAAGUCCCCUAACGAGCGCAACCCUCGUCGUUAGUUAUAUGUGUCUAACGAGACUGCCGGUUUAAAACCGGAGGAAGGUGGGGACGACGUCAAGUCAGCAUGGCCUUUAUGUCCGGGGCUACACACACGCUACAAUGGCCGGUACAAUGGGUAGCCAACCCGCGAGGGGGAGCCAAUCCCACAAGGCCGGUCUCAGUUCGGAUUGGAGGCUGCAACUCGCCUCCAUGAAGCCGGAGUUGCUAGUAAACGCGCGUCAGCUAUAGUGCGUUGAAUACGUUCCCGGGUCU
rnacentral:rRNA from 1 species